GGGAACUGAAAAAUUAUAAAACAAUGUAUAUGUAGAAUUGGGGGUAGAAACCGAAAAGGAAAUUAAAAGACAACAAUCAGAGCAGGAAAGUAGUGAGAAGCUAGGGUACAGAAAAGGAAGAAGAGAAGAAACCCUGUAAAAAACAGAGGACUAGCCACAAAAUCUUGAGGUUGAAGUAGGGGAAGAAGUUACAGCCGACUACAAAGGUAUCAUUAUAAUGACGGAGGAGGUAAGGGUUGCAUUAAGAGAAAUCAAGAGUGGAAAAGCAGCCGGAUGUGUCUUCCUGUUUUAUAGCAUUUGAUUAAGUAUGUCAGGCUAUAUCUCGAGUAGAGGGUCUCUACAAGUGUAGAUCAGAAUGGUGUGAAAUUAGAAGAGUGGUGCAAGUCUGUUGUUUGUCGCCUACCUUUUUUAACAUUUACCUGUAUGAAAUG